CAGAAUUGCAGCUUCCUGCGGGAGCUGCAGAGACAGUAACCAGAAACAGAGGCCGCCAGAAGAGAUCCAACCCAGCUGCUGCCACCCAGGAAGAAAUCCUAUAUGCUUCAGUGGAGAAAAUGAAACCUGAGGAUGGUGUCAAACUGGACAGUUUGGCUGCUGAAUCCAAAGAGCCCCGAGAUGUGGUCUAUGCCCAGCUGUGCAGCAGGUCACUCAGACAGGGGACAGCUGGACCUCCUCCCUCCCAGGCAGGAGAAGCCCCAGAGGAGCCCACUGUAUAUGCUGCUCUGGCCGUCACUCGACCAAGUCCUGUUCCCAAUAACAAGGAGCAAUGACCCUCUGCCUGCCAGGAGGCCUACAAAACCUCCGAGGGAUUCUGUGGACUUUUGGGAACCUGGCUGCAUUUUAACUAAUGUUAUACCAUUUGGAAAUAAAGCAGAU
rnacentral:lncRNA from 1 species